UACAGAGGUCUCAAGCGUUGCUCGGAUUCAUUGGGCGUAAAGGGUGUGUAGGUGGCGCGCUAAGUCGGGUGUGAAAUUUCGGAGCUUAACUCCGAAACUGCAUUCGAUACUGGCGUGCUUGAGGACUGGAGAGGAGACUGGAAUUCAUGGUGUAGCAGUGAAAUGCGUAGAGAUCAUGAGGAAGACCAGUGGCGAAGGCGGGUCUCUGGACAGUUCCUGACGCUGAGACACGAAGGCCAGGGGAGCAAACGGG
rnacentral:rRNA from 1 species